GACCCGUUUGUGUCUGUGCCUUGUUACUGCACUCGCAUCAACCCCACACCAUGCCGCCAGCAACCUGAAGAUUGAACCCGUAGGUUACCCCCGCUGAUCCGCCGCCGUUCUGAUCCGCAAACCAUUGCCAUCACCAUCGCAGAAUCAGAUCUACCCACCACUGCCCUGUCUUUGCAUGGUACCCGCAUCCCCUUCCCUGCCUAAUCGUACCGCCGCCGCACCAAUGCUGGAGGUGUAUGGCAUGCAUCUCCAAUUUGUUAGUCCAGAAAGAAGGAAAAACGAAAAAAGGAAAAAGGGAAGUAAGG
rnacentral:lncRNA from 1 species